CUACAACUAACCAACGCAAAACCGGACCAAGUGCAAAACAUUUUAUACUUUGCUGUGGCGGCAGUGGACAGGACACUUAGAACACCGUGUACCCCAGAAAGGGGUCUAUUGGGUGACUAUGGCAGGUCGUUCCAACUGUUUUUACUGUCGCGAAGACCUCAGUGGAAAGAAGUUUGUGAGGAAAGACGAGAAACAAGUUUGCGUGCGAUGCUUUGACAAGUUCUGCACCAACACCUGCAUGGAAUGUCGACGCCCAAUCAGCACCGACUCCAAGGAGCUUCACCAUAAGGGCCGGUACUGGCACUCGGAUUGUUUCCGAUGUGCGAAGUGCUAUAAGAAUCUGGCCAAGGAGUCUUUCACCUCCAAGGAUGACAGGAUCCUGUGUGGGACAUGUAGCUCACGUGAGGAUGCCCCUCGCUGCCAUGGCUGCUACAAGCCCAUACUGGCAGGCACUGAGAAUGUGGAAUACAAAGGCAACUCAUGGCAUGAUGAGUGUUUCAUCUGCUAUCAGUGUCAAAAGCCAAUCGGCUCCAAAAGUUUCAUAACAAAGAACAACAACAUCUACUGCGGCCCUUGCCACGAGAAGAAAUUUGCCAAACAAUGCGCUUGCUGUAAGAAGCCCAUUACCACAGGAGGUGUGAAUUACCAGGACCAGCCGUGGCAUUCUGAGUGCUUUGUGUGCUCCUCCUGCCGAAAGCCCCUGGCUGGCACCCGCUUCACCUCCCAUGAGGAAAAGGUCUACUGUGUGGACUGCUACAAAAGCACUGUGGCCAAGAAAUGCAGUGGCUGCCAGAAUCCCAUUACAGGAUUUGGCAAGGCUACGAAUGUUGUGAACUAUGAAGGUGGCUCUUGGCACGAUUACUGCUUUAACUGUAAGAAGUGCUCCCUCAACCUGGCAGAAAAGCGCUUUGUAGCUCACAAUGGAGACAUAUACUGCUCUGACUGCUCCAAGAAACUGUAAGCGCCUGAUGACCGUGGAGACGCAGAAGAGUGAGAUUACUUUAGAAAAAUAUCAGCAUUCAUUUGAAUUUAUACAAAAGUCCCACAUAAAUAUGCUGAAGUAUUGACAAAGGCUUCUGUUAUGUUGGUUCUGGCUUCUUUAUGAAGGGAGUUUGAUAUUCCCUGUGAGGAACGUUACGUUUACCUAGAGGCUUUGAUGGGAAAGCGUAUCCUCUCUCUUUCCAAAGGUGCAUUUGUCUCAGGAAAGAUAGUAAGACAGGAUGAAAGAUGGAUAAUGAAAAGAAGUGUGUAUUAAGAAGGUGAAGUCUGCCGUUUGAGACGUAUUACUGGUACAUCUGUGUUUCAAAUAAUGUUUCAAAAUUAAGCUUUGGUUUGAUCUUUUUUAAAUAUUUAACAGCUUGUAAUCAUGGACACUGAACUUUUUAGUACUAUGUGUUUCUGUAUAUUUUAGUCUGCUUUCUUGGGAUUUGAAAUACUAAUUGUACAUUUUGUCAUUUUCGUAUAAAAAAACCCAUACUG